AAAUUUUUAAUUUAAAAAAAAUAAUUCAUUUACAAUGAAUUAAUAAUAAAUUGAUUUAUUAAAAUUUA
rnacentral:tRNA from 1 species